rnacentral:lncRNA from 1 species
UAUUUUUAUUUAGUCAUUUGUUUUAUUUAAGUAUUUUAUAUAUUUUGUCAUAUUAUUUUAGGAAAAUUAUUCAAUUGAAAAUUCAAACACAAGGGUUUCUGAUAACAAUUUGGUUGCAUAAUCAAUUGAACUACUGUAUGAGGCCAUAUUAUCCUAUUUUUUUUAUUUUAGUUAUUGAAUAUAUACCAAAUUAGUAGGUUUUUUUUCAUUAUUUUGUGUUUCAUUUCUAUGUUCUAUAUAUAUGAUGAACAUUUAAACUUAAUGAUUUGAAAGUCAAAAUGUUCCAUAAACUUUAAAAGUACACUUUUGUGGUGAUUUCACAACACAUUAUCAAUUAUUAACAGCUGACAUUUUUAGAAUUUUAAACAUUGAAUAUGAUUGGAAAUAAUGAAGCAACUGUUGUGUUUCUUUAUAAGUUUUAAUGCCUUGAAAAAGUAUUCAUUGCUCUCUCUAUAUUAGACAAAUAUAAUUGAAUUUGAAACUUCAACUUAAAUGUUUUCACAAUAAGUACUGUAUACAUAAUAUUAGUGUAAACACUAAUCAAAUGCAACCGCUGAAUCUAAAUCUGAAUUGCCAAUAACAGUGAGAUCUAUUAAGGUUGACAUACACUACCGCCCAUAAAUAAAGCACAUUUUGUAUGUGAUGGACGCAUCUGUCUGCUUCCACAACACGUCCAUUCAAAGCAUACACCCACCAAAUAUUGUUAUUUGGACGCACUCACAUUUACCUGUAAUUGUUUACCAAUGUUGAUCACGUCAAAUUAACAGUUCCUAUUCACUCCUAUGCCGUUGCAACAGGGAAAACCUAUAAUUCUCGACAGUUAGUUGUUUUUGAGUCAGUUCGGACUGACGAUCAAAAUAAUAAAAAUGACAGUAGCCUAGCAUAACAGAUACAGUUGAAUCCUGCUGGUUCCGCAGUUGAUGAUUUAAAAUACAGAAAAUAUCACAUUCUCUCACACUAUUAAGUUAUACUGAAGUCAGACAGUACUGCAGUAUAUUAUGUUAUGAUUAAUUAUACUCCAGGUACAGUUAGGCUGUGGCUAGGCCUAGGCCUUGUGUAAAAAUUGAAGAUAUUUUUUAUUCAGAGGCAGUUGGUGCAGUACUAAUCUAUGCAUCAUGUUCCAUGCAGCCUUGCACCGUGUCAUGAAAACAUGCUUUCGCGAGUUCAUACAGUAGUUCACCAAACUACAUGUACAGUCAGGUAGGCCGUCCAGUGAGUGACGAUCGAUUGGAUACAUCAAAGUUCUGAAGUCAAUGCAACAGUACUGUAACGACAAGUCUGUCAUAAUUGUAAUGUUUGGUUAAUCAGCAAUUAAACAUUUGUAUCUGAAUAUUAUUGAAAAGAAUUCAGCGAAGCUACUGUAGCAAUAAAUAACUUGUUAUAUUAUUGUGUAUAUUUAAUUAUGACAAUAAUAUGUAUUUUAAUAAAUGUAAUGAAAUGUUAUUUUAAAAACAACUUUAAAAGGAACGAUUUCAAUUGUUUUGCGCCGUCAUCGACUGACAAAAUUACCAAAUCGGUAUGUGCUAUAUAAACAGAAACGGUGAGCAUGUUAAAAGCAAAUCGGUGCAUAUAAUGUUCAAAACAAAAGAAACAUAAAGCAUUAUAAAGUACUCUCAAUAGUGCUCAUUUGAGUCCCUCUCUGUAUAAUCUCCAACAUUUUGGAAAUAUUUUAUCAUUCGAUCAUGGAACUCAAAAUCGGAAACAUCGUUUAAGCAAUUGAUCCAGAAAGUGGCACCUGGCUAAGAGAAAAAUGAUAAAACCCAAGAUUCACGUAGAAAGGAUUGGCUACAAAACCCAAUCCUUGAUAGCGGAAAUGAAAAUAAGGCAUCCAGAACUUAAACGAAGUGUGAAAUGCAACUUCAGGGAACUUCCCAAAUGCCUGUCAGUUGCGAUUUCUACAAAGAGACUGCUUGCAGAAUGUCCUGAUAAGUGACCCGUUUCUGUGUGAGGUUAACAUCAAGGAUAAUGUAACAGUUUGUUACGAAUAUAUUACACAAUGACACGUUAGCGGAUGAGGUGCAUGAUGCGAAUGAGGAUACGAUGGCGGCAGGUACAGUUGAUACUGCAGAUGGUGCAAUUGUAAUAGCGUAUGAGGUAGAGAUGUGUGCGGAUAUUGAUGAGAUGGUGGUGGCGGCCUUUACGACUGUACCAGCGGUGUAUGAUAAUGAUGAGGAGGAGGAGAAGGGGGCAGAAGCAAGGGCCGGAGCAUGAUAAAUUGGCAGUGAAGAAGAAAAGCGUAAACGGAAAGGUACUAAAAAGAAGAAAGGCAGUAGAUACGCAUUCAACAACAGGAAGCUAUCAACCUUCACAAACCUUGUCGGAGACCCAGCAAAAGUGACGAGCCGUAUGAAACAUUCACAUAUCCAGUGAUUACUGAGGAUGGAAGAGCUUCAGAAGGAAACAAAUAAAGUGCUAACUACAUCUCUAUGGCUGCCAACGAACAAUGCUAGCACCUGAGUAGACAUGAUGGAGCAUAGAAUAAGGCAAAUAGAGGAAUUACUGUAGUUGCAUUGUUGGAAAGCAGCAUUCAAGAAAUUUCUCAGUUGCACCAGCAGCUAAACCUUCUCGAAAAUUGACAUGUCGUUUCAAUUUCUGUAGAAAAAGUAAAUCGGCCAGUGGUUAAUAAUAAGCCUAAUGAUGAUACUGUGAUACCAGAUCAACUAAGGGUUAGAUUGCUGCAAUUUACCAUCAAUAUGUUAAAGGUAGCCAUGUUGCUCGUUAAGCAUUUAUUUACUUUUGAAGAAAGACUUAACAGUUACGUAAAUGGUAGGAACGGUGCAUUAAUUCUAGAUCCUAGACAAAUAGGUAUUGUGAAAGGGAAAACCUUCAACAUUUUGCUGGCACCAUUUUGUGAUGUUGAAAGGUUAUGGAAAAAGUGUGUCAUUUAAAAUCAAGACUGAAGGUUCAAUCAAAAUGUCUGAAUGUCAGUAGGGUUUAAUCCAAAUAAAAUUAAGUAAUCUGAUAAUAUAUGUCUAGGCCUAAUUUGUAACAUUGUGUUUGUCUUUUGGUGUAUAUAUAUAUAUAUGAGAUAUAUGAUGGCUACUCCAUGAUUCGUGCUGAUCGAUUGGAUCGAGGAGGUGGAGGUAUUAUAAUGUAUAUCAAUGAACUUAUUCCUUUUAAACAAUGGACUGAACUUAAAACUGAGAACAUUGAAAGCAUUUUUGUUACAAUACGACCCAAAUGCUUACCUAGAUCUAUUAGUAACAUAACUAUUGCUGCUGUGUACCAUCCCUCUCCCUCUAGCGCCAAUGAUUUCAUUAUGUGUAAUCACAUUUCGAAUAACCUUGACUUUAUCCGCACUAAGCAUCCUGAUACCGGAAUUUUCAUACUAGGAGACUUCAAUAGAAUGAAAGAUGCUCAACUGAAGCAAUUCCCGUUAAAACAGAUUGUUAAGGAUUG